UCAUUGGGGUCUUCGGAUCCGAGGAGUUUCUUAUUUUAAAAAGUUACUGAAGUAAAUGAAGCUAAUGUCUGCUCUCCGAUCUGUUUUCAGUUCCGGAUGAACCCAGACUGCCCCCGGCUGAUGAGAACACAAGAAAUCACUUUGCUGCUGUCGCCUCCCUGAUCCUCUUCCUCAUCCUCAUCCUCACCGCGGUGGCUCAGUGUGGAGCUCAUGGCUCGCAGCAGGAUGGUUCUGGUGGAACAGCAGAACCGUCACAUAAUCUAGAGAUGGUUUUGUCGAAGCAGUGUGGGACGGAGAACAAAGAGCUGAAUGUCUCAAAUGGACCCUGACUUGGACCGGAGCCUGGAGAAGCGACCACUGGCCAAACUGCCACAACGUUCAACAGAAAUCAGGUCAUCAAUUGAAGUUUUGUUAGAUGUCCCAAGGAAAAGGCUAAAGCUUUGGAGUAACUGGGCCUUUUCGGUGGCAGCACCAUGAUUCUGGAACAAUCUUCCUCUAGACCUUCACUCCAUCUCUGACCCGGACAUCUUUAAACUUAAGCUCAAGUUUUCUUUAGACAGCCUUUAGUAGCAGGUAGCAGAGAGGCAUUCCCUUAUUAUUAUUAUUAUUUUGUGUUUGUGUUUUCUUACCCUUGUGAUGUGAAUGCGGCUGUGGUCACCUUAAUUGUUGUUAUCAAGUAUUAUAUAAAUCCAUCAAUCAAACAGGGUUUCCUGCAAACACAUGGAGUGAUGAAGAGAAGGUGUACAACGCAAUGAAAUGAUGGACAUCAAAUUUUAAUUUGAAAAUAUUUUAUUGAUCCCAAAGGGGAAUUAAAUGUUGUUGUAACUCAUAUGAAUUCAAAUUAAUCUGCAAUGACCAUCUUCAGUUAUUGUAGAUGGUGAUGAUGGCUGUUGGCAGGAAACAUCUCUUGUAGCAGUCUGUGUUACAGUGAAACUGAGGAAGCCUCUGACUGAAGACAGUCGGUUCCAGAACAAUCUUUCAUUAGAAUUUGAAACCCUCAAAUCAGCAGAGAAACCCAAAUGGCAGCCUUCUCUGCCAUUAAACCUGCCAUUUCAUAAACUGUUUGAUAAAGUUAAAUCCAUUAAAGCUAAAAAAAAACUGUAAACAUUUGGUUUUAAUUAUCACUUCCAUUUUUUUCCUUUUUACGUCAUUCAUCCAAUUCAAUAAUGGAUAUAAAUUCUUUAUCUGAUAACUAGAAUUCAUGUGUCCUUAAAUUGAUGUGAAAGCUUUUCGUUAUGCAAUAUGAAUAAAACAGUAAUCAUACUUUAGAUUAUGCUAAUGAGUGCCAAUGUUGUAUCUGAGA